UACAGAGGGGGCAAGCGUUGUUCGGAAUUACUGGGCGUAAAGGGCGCGUAGGCGGCCGCCUAAGUUAGACGUGAAAUCCCUCGGCUCAACCGGGGAACUGCGUCUGAUACUGGGUGGCUUGAAUCCGGGAGAGGGAUGCGGAAUUCCAGGUGUAGCGGUGAAAUGCGUAGAUAUCUGGAGGAACACCGGUGGCGAAGGCGGCAUCCUGGACCAACACUGACACUGAGGAGCGAAAGCCAGGGGAGCAAACGGG
rnacentral:rRNA from 1 species